AAAUGAUUGUUAUUUUUGCUCCUCGGUAGCUCAAUGGUAGAGCAGGUCGCUGUGAAAGAUCGCAGCCUUCGACAGCAAUGUUGAAGAGAAACACAGGGUGAAUUGUCGGGAAGCCUAAAGCGAAAGCCAUGGUAAUCCGCAGCCAAGCCUCACAAAAAUGAGGAAGGUUCAGAGACUAGGUGAGUACACCAUUUAGCGCCCUGCUCCCGAUCUAUAUCGGGAUGAUGAGAUAGUCCAUACGCUCCGGAAACGGAGGG
rnacentral:ncRNA from 1 species